rnacentral:rRNA from 1 species
UACGUAGGGUCCGAGCGUUGUCCGGAAUUAUUGGGCGUAAAGGGCUCGUAGGCGGUUUGUCGCGUCGGGUGUGAAAUCACCGGGCUUAACUCGGUGCUUGCUUUCGAUACGGGCAGACUAGAGGUAUGCAGGGGAGAAUGGAAUUCCUGGUGUAGCGGUGAAAUGCGCAGAUAUCAGGAGGAACACCGGUGGCGAAGGCGGUUCUCUGGGCAUUACCUGACGCUGAGGAGCGAAAGCGUGGGGAGCGAACAGG